UACGUAGGGUGCAAGCGUUAAUCGGAAUUACUGGGCGUAAAGCGUGCGCAGGCGGUUAUGUAAGACAGGUGUGAAAUCCCCGGGCUUAACCUGGGAACUGCAUUUGUGACUGCAUAGCUAGAGUACGGCAGAGGGGGAUGGAAUUCCGCGUGUAGCAGUGAAAUGCGUAGAUAUGCGGAGGAACACCGAUGGCGAAGGCAAUCCCCUGGGCCUGUACUGACGCUCAUGCACGAAAGCGUGGGGAGCAAACCGG
rnacentral:rRNA from 1 species